GCUGUAUCUUCGCGUAUCGUUGGCGAUUUGAAGUGUACCAGUCAUUCGUAAGGCUCAUCCGCAGCCUUUUGGACCGUAUUCGGACUAUCGCAUCAGUAUAGGAGCAUCCAGCUCAUUAGACCAGGACCUCACGACACAUUAGAUCAGGACCCCAUUGACAUUAUAAGUGCUGAUUUGGACACUCAGUGCUAACAGUGACAUUUUGGUUCUAGUGGCUAUAAAAAGAUUCUGGUUAUUUCCUUUCAACAGAGUCAGUCACAUAAAGCGUGGGAAGAAGGAGCAAGGGAGUGAAAUCCAUUCAGUUCCACAAAUUGAUUGGAGCCUUGACGUUUGAUGCUCUUGAGUUAUCUGUGAAUCAAAUAUUCUAAUUAUAUUGAAACGUAAAACUAGACAGUCUUGAGUUAUCUUCCUCCUGUGUGGUUAAGUGGCGAAAUAAUCACAAAGUUAUAUAGGUGAAACGUGCUGACUGUAAAAAGCUUCUGACUGAAUUUUAUAAACUGUUUUUAAGCCGACAUUAUGUCUUUGAUUCGCGUGUGUGGUAUUCUUGGUAUGCUACAAAUAGUGGCUAGUUUUUCUGUUACCGCGGGAAGACAACCGUUAGGAAAUGAUGGAACACCGGAAUUAAUAAUUGUUCAGUGUGAUUAUCCUAUCUGGGCAAGAGAUUUCACCGACCGUUUAAUGCCUCAA